rnacentral:tRNA from 1 species
CUGGUUCUGUAGUGUAGUGGUCAUCACUCUGGUUUUUGAAAUGAUUGAAGUACCAGAAACCCCGGUUCGAACCCGGGCAGGACCUU